UACAGAGGUCCCGAGCGUUGUUCGGAUUCACUGGGCGUAAAGGGUGCGUAGGUGGUGAGGUAAGUCGGAUGUGAAAUCUCCGAGCUCAACUCGGAAAUGGCAUUGGAAACUACCUUGCUAGAGGAUUGGAGGGGAGACUGGAAUGCUUGGUGUAGCAGUGAAAUGCGUAGAUAUCAAGCGGAACACCAGUGGCGAAGGCGAGUCUCUGGACAAUUCCUGACACUGAGGCACGAAAGCCAGGGGAGCAAACGGG
rnacentral:rRNA from 1 species